rnacentral:rRNA from 1 species
GAUGAACGCUAGCGGCAGGCUUAAUACAUGCAAGUCGAGGGGCAGCAUGAGUGUAGCAAUACAUUUGAUGGCGACCGGCAAACGGGUGCGGAACACGUACUGAACCUUCCUUUAAGUGGGGAAUAGCCCAGGGAAACUUGGAUUAAUACCCCGUAACAUAAUGAAGUGGCAUCACUUUAUUAUUAUAGCCCCGGCGCUUAAAGAUGGCAGUGCGGCUGAUUAGGUAGUUGGCGGGGUAACGGCCCACCAAGCCUGCGAUCAGUAACUGGUGUGAGAGCACGACCAGUCACACGGGCACUGAGACACGGGCCCGACUCCUACGGGAGGCAGCAGUAAGGAAUAUUGGGCAAUGGACGCAAGUCUGACCCAGCCAUGCCGCGUGGAGGAUGAAGGUCCUCUGGAUUGUAAACUUCUUUUAUAUGGGACGAAAAAGGGUCUUUCUAGAUCAACUGACGGUACCAUAUGAAUAAGCACCGGCUAACCCCGUGCCAGCAGCCGCCGUAACAC